AUCCUUUUGUGGUUCAAAAGCAUGAUGAUUGGGUUUCCACAUGUGUGUGAGAUGUGCCUCCUUCAAACCUUGUUACAGCAUUGGCACAUUACCCAAUGUGCUC